ACAGCCUAAUUGCGGGGGUUUAAUAGCGGGGGUCAGCUCCAACCUCCGCAAAUCUCAUUAAAUAACGGGGGUUUAUAUAACCGACAUUAUUAAAAGAAACUAGCAGCGGUUUAAAACCUCCUCCAUCUAAAAAAAAAAAAAAAAAAAUAGCGCGCAUUUUUCCCACACUUUUUUUCGCUGCUCUUUUUCUCUGAAUAACAAAAAGCUCGCAUAACAAAACCCCUUUCUCAAAAAGCUCAGUCUUUCACUAAUUUUUUUCCCUCAAGAUAAUUUCAUGCUUCCUUUUGAGAGAUUAGCUCAAAUUUCGUGCUUAUUUUCUUUGGAUUUCCCUCAAGUGGCUAAGGCGUCUCUAUCACUCACUCUGGCAUAGAAAUCGACAACCAAGUGAUGUGGCUAGUGGAUCCCUUUCGCCCAUGGAUGCAAGAAGAUCAUGCGGUGAUAGUAAUCCUAGUGACAACCGUUGAUUUCAUUGUAUUGUUUGGUAGGAACGAAUGUUAGAACGCUGGAGUGAAUGUAUUGUGUUUAAAUUUAGUUUUUGAGUGAUAUGAUAAUGCUACUUAAAUUUUUA